UGCCCAUGAUGAGGGCAAUCUCUAAGCAAUUGCUUGAAUCGUUCCCAUACAUCAUACAAAGUUGUCCCCUUGCUCUUGUGCAAACCCCAAAGUUUUACUCCUGGGCG